AACUCAUGUUGUGGACACUUCUGUAAGAGGUCCUUGAAUCGCUCCCAUGUCUCAAACAAUGAUUCAAGCUCCAUCUAAACAAAUGACAAUAUCUCAUUAUGAAACU